AACUCCAUCUUUGGGGACAAAAAUAUUCACUUUAAAUCAAUUGGCUGAAAACUAAUCUCUUCCCUUAUCCACUUCAAGCAUGGAAGAAAAACUUAGCUGAGCAUCAUUCCUCUAGCGCACAAAAAGAACAACAGAACCGAUCGUGCACAUUGGGUCUAGGCCAGAAAACGCAGCCACUCGCUUUCUUCCACCAAGACCGUGAAUCUCUCAAGAGAGAAAUUUCCAUCUAAGCUUCCAUGGGUACUCCUUUCACCCUUCGGCCGAGUAACCACCAGCAAGGAGGUGAGAUGCUCAUCAUUUUUGGUUCCUUUCCUACUCCACCAGUUCUGACUAAGUCCCUCCUUAUGUGCACAUGAUGUGGCUCGUUGGAUGCUGUCUCCCACUGCAUGCAGAGUGUGUCCGAAACUCAGCCUCAUUCCUCUGCCCUCCUUGUGCACGGUCUCACCAAUUCAAGGAGCUGUGGUUCUGAAUUUUUUGAAGAGUAGAUAAACUCCCUUACAUGUGGCUGAAUUCGCGAGCUUGGGAUAGGAAAGGGUGAGAACCUUAGCACCUACCUUGGGGAUUAUCUUCUUGGCUGAUUGGUGAACCGUGGAGUGCAUACAAGGAAGUAACCUAACCUAAACCAAGACUUCUCACCCUUCUCUGUUUCGGAUUUGUGUGCAGCCUAGGAGAAUGAGGACGAAAGAGCAUAUGAAGACAUGGUUAUUUUGGAUAUUAGCUGUUAAUUGCUGAUGUUUGGAUUUUUGCUGUUGCUGUUUAUUUGAUGGAUGACUGUAUUAUUUUGGGAAGUUUGGAUUACUGUUGGAACUAUGAUUUAGCUACAGUUUUAAGACUGUUAUGAUCAGUUAUUACCUUGGAAAACAAAAAAUUCUGAAAACGUUUUGCGAAAAAAAAAAUU